UACAGAGGCCACGAGCGUUAGGCGGAAUCACUGGGCUUAAAGCGUGUGUAGGUGGAUGGGUAAGUACCUUGUGAAAUCCCACGGCUCAACCGUGGAACUGCUUGGUAUACUGCCCGUCUUGAGGUACUCAGGGGCAAUCGGAACAGAUGGUGGAGCGGUGAAAUGCGUAGAUAUCAUCUGGAACGCCAAUGGUGAAGACAGCUUGCUGGGGGUAUUCUGACACUGAGACACGAAAGCCAGGGGAGCAAACGGG
rnacentral:rRNA from 1 species